AUGUGUUUAUGUUAAAAAUUAGACUAACUUCGGGUAAGAACUCUCCCUCGAACUCUUAAUAUAUUUAUUAGAAUGGCGUUUUGCAAGAACUUUGAACUAAGGAUUCUGGUAAAGGGUCCUUCUUGACCCCUUUUAUAUGGGAAUGAAGUACUGAAGGCGCAAGAAAACCCGUGUAAAGCUUUUCCUAACUGAUGGGACCUUAUGCCUAGAUAGUGGAUUCAAGAUCAAACUUCUUGCCGAUCUCCCACAUGAUCGUUUUAUUGGAA
rnacentral:misc_RNA from 1 species